rnacentral:lncRNA from 1 species
UAAAUGCUUCAAGAAACGAGGAAGGGGAGUACGCCAUGUUAGUGAAGGACAUUUUGCUAGUAUCAUAUAUGACAUACCUCACUGGGAAAAUUACACUGGAGUGUAUAUAUUGGGAAUGCCAGCUACAUUCGCCCUAUCUCCACUUCUCCCUUAAACUUUUAAAUCUGUCCAUCAUAUACUUCCAUCUCCCUCUACACUUCCUCAUCUUUCCCUAGUGUGGAUGCAAUCUCUUUCCAAGAGUUGCUGCUUCUCUGGAAGUCCUUGUAAUCUUUCAAGGACGUGUCAAAAAGUUGCCGGUACUUUCGGACCUCUUCGCCUUGUCAAAGCUCAUCUCCAUCUCUCCUGUUCCAUUUCUCCAUGCGAGUUGAAUACAGCUCAUCAAUCAAUCGGAUCAGCGCUUUAAUCCUCUUCUGUCAGCAAACAAUGGAGUUAUUACUACACCUGCUGAGAUUAUGAUGUUGAUUCAAAUUACACUGAGAUAAGACGGCACUCGGUUCUUUCAAUCAAAGGUAUUACAGCUGCCUGGUCAACGCAGUGUGUCUGUCAUAAAACCAUAUGUUACAUUCUAUUUCUCUGAAUUCUGAGGAGAUUUAAGAGAAACCAAAGCAAUGAUGAUGUGAGGCUGGAUGGGUGAAUGUUUGUGAAUCGAACAUAUCCUUUUACUGUUAUUUGAAACUGCAUUAAAACAUGGACAACAC